GCUGAGCAUGCUGGUGCGUGCUUGUAAUCCUAGCUACUCAGGAGGCUGAGGCAAGAGAAUUGCUUAAACCUGGGAGGCAGAGGUUGCAGUGAGCUGAGAUCGUGCCAUUGCACUCCAGCUUGGGCAACAAGAGUGAAACUCUCUAAGAAAAAAAAAAAAAAGUCAGGGUCUUAUUCUGUCGGCCAGGCUAGAGUGCAGUGUCACGAUCAUAACUCACUGCUGCCUUAAACUCCUGGGCUCAAGUAAUCCUGUUGCCUCA
ensembl:misc_RNA Metazoa_SRP Metazoan signal recognition particle RNA